AUAUUUACCUGGUAGGGGUGAUACUGUGAUCAUGAAGGUGGUUUUCCCAGGAUAAGACUUGUCUGUUGCACUCUGGAUGUGCUGACACCUGAGAUUUCUGCAAAUGCAGAAAACUUGACUGUAUAAUUUGAGGUAGUGGGGAACCUACCUCUCUCCU
rfam:Cricetulus griseus cell line CHO-K1, whole genome shotgun sequence.